GUGGGGUCCGCUGAAGCCGGAAGUUCCCGCCCUUGCCGGGCAGGUCCCGCCCUCAGCGGGGCGGGUUGCGGGCAGUGAUUGCGGUCGUAGCAGGGUCCUCGUCGGGACUGCGAGCAACUUUGCGCGCUGAGGUGGCGGGUGGUCGUGAUCUUCCGGGGUUCCCACGGGUAUGGCCAGGAGGGCAGCUCUGGUGUCGGUGGUAAGGUGUGGCCAAGAGCGACGGUGGAUUCCUCCGAGGGCCGGGGAUAAACUGCCGUAGGGGGCGCGGGCUGCAGUGCGGUGCUCGAAGAGGCUGGGCCCUACCCUGCCUAUCUGGAUUCGACUCUAGCGUCUUGUGUUCGUGCUUCCGUCUGUACCUGUGCAUUUGCUGGAGAUGAGCCACCAAGCCACCCGAGUGCAUGGAGGCAUGAAACUCAGGCUGGUCUGUGCAGGCUGAAGGCAGCAUGGAAAGAUCCCCUGGAAGCUUCAACAUUCAGGCAUCGUGUGAUUUACUUCAAAAAUUAAAAUGGCAUGAAAUGUU